rnacentral:rRNA from 1 species
CUUGGUCAUUUAGAGGAAGUAAAAGUCGUAACAAGAUCGUUGUAGAUGAAUCUGCAGCGAAAUCAUUAUCGAGAGUGAGACGAGAUCGUCUCGUCUCGCGAAAGACUCACGUCUCUCGACUCUUCAUCUCGUGUUUAUCUUUUCGCGUUGCUUUGACGAACGUCGAGAUCUCGAGCUCUCGCAACGAGACGUCGAGUCAAGUCGAGAAAGUGAGAGAUCGAGAAUCGAAUCGUCAGACUCUAAUGACGUCGACUCGAAUGACGAGAAGAUGAAGAGACGCGUCGAGCUCGUCUGCUGCAGCAGAGAACGCCGAAUCGAAUCGCGAGAGAGAAUCAGUCGAGUCGUCGUCCUACGUGACGACGAUCUCGAGCGAGAUUCCGCGUUUCUUUCUUGAAUUCACUUCUCGCGUGACGCUCUCGACUCGAAAAGAAACACGAAGCCUCGCGUCUGAUUCUUUCGAGACAUCACGAGCUCGACUCCCGACGAGGAAGAUUCAGGCGACAAGAAGCGCGUCUGACCCCUCGAGAGAAUCUCAGAGAGAAUGUUUGACAUUCGCGACAGACUGACGAUUGAAACGACUCUCGCGAGAGUUCUCGCGCCUCAGCUUCGCGAAACGUCGAUAUCGAGCUUCUCGAGAGCGACUUGCAUCGAGUCUCGACCUCGCGUUCGUCGAAGGCUCACUCAAACUCGUCGUAAUUGUGUCGUCCGAGCAAACGAUCGAAUCGUAUAAAACUUUUCACAACGAAUCUCUUGAUUUCGACAUCGAUGAAAAACGCAGCGAAAUGCGAUAAGUAAUGUGAAUUGCAGAAUUCAGUGAAUCAUCGAAUCUUUGAACGCACAUUGCGCCCCCUGACACUUCGAGGGACAUGUCUGUUCGAGCGUCAUUGCAUCUCUCGAGUUUCGACGACUCGAUGUUGAACGCCGCCUCCCUCGCGUCGAGAAGGGCGCGCUCGCAACACAGUGACGAUUCGAGAGCGACUUCACGCGCGAUAGACAAUCAUCGCGAGGAGACUUCGCCUCGAACACUCGUCAGACAAUCUCACGUUUUCACGAUUGAUCUCGAAUCAGGUAGAAAUACUCGCUGAACUUAGGCAUAUCAAUAAGCGGAGGA